rnacentral:rRNA from 1 species
GAUCUUAGUUGCCAGCAUUUAGUUGGGCACUCUAAGGUGACUGCCGGUGACAAACCGGAGGAAGGUGGGGAUGACGUCAAAUCAUCAUGCCCCUUAUGACCUGGGCUACACACGGGCUACAAUGGACAGAACAAAGGGCUGCGAGACCGCAAGGUUUAGCCAAUCCCAUAAAUCUGUUCUCAGUUCGGAUCGCAGUCUGCAACUCGACUGCGUGAAGCUGGAAUCGCUA